CUACGGGUGGCACCAGUGGGGAAUAUUGCACAAUGGAGGAAACUCUGAUGCAGCAACGCCGCGUGGAGGAUGACACUUUUCGGAGCGUAAACUCCUUUUAUAUAGGAAGGAGAUGACGGUACUAUAUGAAUAAGCGCCGGCUAACUCCGUGCCAGCAGCCGCGGUAAUACGGAGGGCGCAAGCGUUACUCGGAAUCACUGGGCGUAAAGAGCGUGUAGGCGGAUUAAAAAGUCAGAAGUGAAAUCCUAUAGCUUAACUAUAGAACUGCUUCUGAAACUCUUAAUCUAGAAUAUGGGAGAGGUAGAUGGAAUUUCUGGUGUAGGGGUAAAAUCCGUAGAGAUCAGAAGGAAUACCGAUUGCGAAGGCGAUCUACUAGAACAUUAUUGACGCUGAGACGCGAAAGCGUGGGGAGCAAACAGGAUUAGAUACCCGAGUAGUC
rnacentral:rRNA from 1 species